AUGAAAUUCAUCCUUUUCCUUUAGUAAGAAAGGGAGG
rnacentral:sRNA from 1 species